CCACGCUAAGCGGGGAACUAGCGGUGCCCUGAUUCCAUCGAUUCGUCGGUGGAUGACCUGCAAACCGCUCAGCAGGGCCGAAUUCCCGAUUGAGGGGUCACCCUGAUUCAAGCUGAACCGUUUAGAGGAGCGUUGAAGCUCGGGUCCCGCGCACGUAAUACUCGCAAACUCCGUCAGGUCCGGAAGGAAGCAGCGGUAAGCAAGCCUCUUACGGGGCGCGGAAUAACUCGAGCCGAGCCGAUCGGCGGGGAUGCUGAGAUCAGGAACUUCGAGAGAGGGUGCGUGG
rnacentral:SRP_RNA from 1 species